GCCGGGGUGCCCGAAUCAGGUAAGGGGCCAGGCUCGAGACCUGGUGACCUUUAUGGUCUUGUGGGUUCAAAUCCCACCCCCGGCG
rnacentral:tRNA from 1 species